UGGAGGAUUUCCUGACUCACUUGGC
rnacentral:piRNA from 1 species